rnacentral:rRNA from 1 species
UGCGUAGGUGGCGCUGUAAGUCAGGUGUGAAAUUUCGGAGCUUAACUCCGAAACUGCAUUUGAUACUGCGGUGCUCGAGGACUGGAGAGGAGACUGGAAUUUACGGUGUAGCAGUGAAAUGCGUAGAGAUCGUAAGGAAGACCAGUGGCGAAGGCGGGUCUCUGGACAGUUCCUGACACUGAGGCACGAAGGCCAGGGGAGCAAACG